UACGUAGGUGGCAAGCGUUGUCCGGAUUUAUUGGGCUUAAAGGGUGCGUAGGCGGCUUAUUAAGUCAGUGGUGAAAUACUCUAGCUCAACUAGAGGGGUGCCAUUGAUACUGAUGAGCUUGAGUACAGAUGAGGUAGGCGGAAUUGACGGUGUAGCGGUGAAAUGCUUAGAUAUCAAGAGGAACACCUGCGGCGAAGGCGGGUUGCUGGGCCGGCACUGACGCUGAGGCGCGAAAGCCAGGGGAGCGAACGGG
rnacentral:rRNA from 1 species